rnacentral:lncRNA from 1 species
GAAAACCCUUGAUCUCACCUAUUCCGAUUCCUUACAGAAAUCACCGGACUUUUCACAAGUCCCAAAUCUUGAAGAGUUGAUAUUGGUAUGGUGUAAGAGUUUGUCCGAGAUUCACCCCUCCAUUGGUCAUCUUGAAAGACUGACUUUGGUGAACCUUACAAGAUGUUGCAAGCUUAUUUCUCUUCCAAGGGAUUUCUAUAAGUCAAAAUCUGUUGAGACUCUUCUUCUUAAUGGAUGUUCAAAAUUCAUAGAACUGCAUGAGGAUAUAGGGCAGAUGAUAUCACUGAGAACACUUGAAGCAUAUAAAACAGCCAUAAGAGAAGUACCACCUUCCAUAGUAAGAAUGAAGAAUCUCACUCGUUUAUCCCUUGAUAAGUACUGCAUCAGCGUAGAGCUCAAAGGAGAAUACAAAUAUAUAGGUUGGGACCUAUGCCCUUUAAAGUCCAUACCAGAUGACUUUUUUAAUCAAGAUAAACUAGUUGUUUUAGAGAUGAACUAUAGUAGACUGGUACAAGUUUGGGAGGGUUCCAAGGUACAAUGAAUUACACCUGAUGAUGUUCUGUUUCUAUUUGUUUUUUGGAUUUCUUCUCUCUUUUUUAUUUUUAUUUUUAUAACAGCUUCAUUUCGGAUAUUAAUUUCAAUUUUCUUUUGAUUUUCUGCAACAGUCGUUUCGUAACCUGAAAACCCUUGAUCUCAGCCAUUCCUAUUCCCUACAGAAAUCACCGGACUUUUCACAAGUCCCAAAUCUUGAAGAGUUGAUAUUGAAAUGGUGUAAGAGUUUGUCCGAGAUUCACCACUCCAUUGGUCAUCUUGAAAGACUUUCUUUGGUGAACCUUACAAGAUGUUGCAAGCUUAUUUCUCUUCCAAGGGAUUUCUAUAAGUCAAAAUCUGUUGAGACUCUUCUUCUUAAUGAUUGUUAUGAAUUCAGAGAACUGCAUGAGGAUAUAGGGGAGAUGUUAUCACUGAGAACACUUGAAGCAGAGAAAACAGCCAUAAGAGAAGUACCACCUUCCAUAGUAGGAUUGAAGAAUCUCACUCGUUUAUCCCUUGACCGCAUCAGCGUAGAGCUCAAUGGAGAAUACAAAUAUCUUCCCAAAGAGCUAAUAACGUUGUGGUGGGAAGGAUGCCCUUUAAAGUCCAUACCAGAUGACUUUUUUAAUCAAGAUAAACUAGUUGUUUUAGGGAUGCAGUUUAGCGAACUGGUACAAGUUUGGAAGGGUUCCAAGGUACAAUGAAUACACCUGAUGAUGUUAUGUUUCUGUUUGUUUUUUGGAUUUCCUUUUAUUUUUUAUUAAUGACAUCUUCAUUUCGGAUAUUAAUUUCAAUUUUCUUUUGAUUUUCUGCAACAGUCGCUACAUAACUUGAAAACCCUUGAUCUCACCUAUUCCCGUUCCUUAGAGAAAUCACCGGACUUUUCACAAGUCCCAAAUCUUGAAGAGUUGAUAUUGGAAGAGUGUAUUAGUCUGUCCGAGAUUCACCCCUCCAUUGGUCAUCUUAAAAGACUUUCUUUGGUGAACCUUAGUCGAUGUAAUGAGCUUAUUUCUCUUCCAAAGGAUUUCUAUAAAUUGAAAUCUGUUGAGACUCUUCUUCUUAAUGGAUGUUCAAAAUUCAUAGAACUGCAUGAGGAUAUAGGGCAGAUGAUAUCACUGAGAACACUUGCAGCAUAUAAAACAGUCAUAAGAGAAGUACCACCUUCCAUAGUAAGAUUGAAGAAUCUCACUUGUUUGUCCCUAUCAGGUGUGGGAAGUAUUCAUUUGCCACAUUCGUUACACGGCUUAAACUCUUUAAGGGAAUUAGACAUCUCAUGUUGCGGAUUAGCCGAUAAUGAAAUCCCUGGGGAUCUUGGGAGUCUAAUUUCUUUACAAGUUUUGGAUCUUUCACGGAAUAAUUUUCACAUCCUACCCAACCUCAGUGGCGUAGAGCUCAAUGGAGUAUACAAACAUCUUCCUAAAGAGUUAAUAUGGUUGCAUUGGGAAGAAUUCCCUUUAAAGUCCAUACCAGAUGACAUUUUUAAUCAAGAUAAACUAGUUGUUUUAGACAUGCAGGGUAGCAAACUGGUACAAGCUAGGGAUGGUUCCAAGGUACAAUGAAUUACACAUGAUGAUGUUCUGUUUCUAUAUGUUUUUUGGAUUUCUUCUCUUUUAUUUUAUUUUUUAUAACAUCUUCAUUUCGGAUAUUAAUUUCAAUUUUCUUUUGAUUUUCUGCAACAGUCACUAUAUAACUUGAAAACCCUUGAUCUCAGCUGUUCCGAUUCCUUACAGAAAUCACCGGACUUUUCACAAAUCCCAAAUCUUGAAGAGUUGAUAUUGGAAGGGUGUUCUAGUUUGUCCGAGAUUCACCCCUCCAUUGGUCAUCUUAAAAAACUUUCUUUGGUGAACCUUACCCAAUGUUGGGAACUUAUUUCUCUUCCAAGGGAUUUCUAUAAAUUGAAAUCUGUUAAGACUCUUCUUCUUAAUGGAUGUUCAAAAUUCAUAGAACUGCAUGAGGAUAUAGGGGAGAUGAUAUCACUGAGAACACUUGAAGCAGAGCGAACAUCCAUAAGAGAAGUACCACCUUCCAUAGUAAGAUUGAAGAAUCUCACUGGUUUAUCCCUUGAUAAGUACCGCAUCAGUGUAAAGCUCAAAGGAGAAUACAAAUAUCUGUGUUGGGACCUAUGCCCUUUAAAGUCCAUACCAGAUGACUUUUUUAAUCAAGAUAAACUAGUUGUUUUACAGAUGCAGUAUAGCAAACUGGUACAAGUUUGGGAGGGUUCCAAGGUACAAUGAAUUACACGUGAUGAUGUUCUGUUUCUCUUUCUUUUUUUUAUAACAGCUUCAUUUCGGAUAUUAAUUUCAAUUUUCUUUUGAUUUUCUGCAACAGUCACUAUAUAACUUGAAAACCCUGGAUCUCAGCUGUUCCGAUUCCUUACAGAAAUCACCGGACUUUUCACAAGUCCCAAAUCUUGAAGAGUUGAUAUUGGAAGGGUGUUCUAGUUUGUCCGAGAUUCACCCCUCCAUUGGUCAUCUUAAAAAACUUUCUUUGGUGAACCUUACCCAAUGUUGGGAACUUAUUUCUCUUCCAAGGGAUUUCUAUAAAUUGAAAUCUGUUGAGACUCUUCUUCUUAAUGGAUGUUCAAAAUUCAUAGAACUGCAUGAGGAUAUAGGGGAGAUGAUAUCACUGAGAACACUUGAAGCAGAGCGAACAUCCAUAAGAGAAGUACCACCUUCCAUAGUAAGAUUGAAGAAUCUCACUGGUUUAUCCCUUGAUAAGUACGGCAUCAGUGUAAAGCUCAAAGGAGAAUACAAAUAUCUGUGUUGGGACCUAUGCCCUUUAAAGUCCAUACCAGAUGACUUUUUUAAUCAAGAUAAACUAGUUGUUUUACAGAUGCAGUAUAGCAAACUGGUACAAGUUUGGGAGGGUUCCAAGGUACAAUGAAUUACACGUGAUGAUGUUCUGUUUCUAUUUGUUUUUUGGAUUUCUUCUCUUUCUUUUUUUUAUAACAUCUUCAUUUCGGAUAUUAAUUUUAAUUUAUUUUGAUUUUCUGCAACAGUCGCUUCGUUACUUGAAAACCCUUGAUCUCAGCUAUUCCUGGUCCUUACAGAAAUCACCGGACUUUUCACAAGUCCCAAAUCUUGAAGAGUUGAUAUUGGAAGAUUGUUAUAGUUUGUCUGAGAUUCACCCCUCCAUUGGUCAUCUUAAAGGACUUUCUUUGGUGAACCUUAGAGACUGUCGUAAGCUUAUUUCUCUUCCAAGGGAUUUCUAUAAGUUGAAAUCUGUUGAGACUCUUCUUCUUAAUGGAUGUUGGAAAUUCAG